UACGUAGGGGGCAAGCGUUGUCCGGAUUUACUGGGCGUAAAGAGCGUGUAGGCGGCCACGCAGGUCCGUUGUGAAAACUGGAGGCUCAACCUUCAGACGUCGACGGAAACCGUAUGGCUAGAGUCCGGAAGAGGUGAGUGGAACUCCGAGUGUAGAGGUGAAAAUUCGUAGAUAUUCGGAAGAACACCAGUGGCGAAGGCGGCUCACUGGUCCGGUACUGACGCUGAUGUGCGAAAGCGUGGGGAGCAAACAGG
rnacentral:rRNA from 1 species